UCUUUCUAAAAGCACUACUUUUUAUAUGCAGAAGUACAUUAAUUCAUUUUCUAAUAACAGAAGCAGAAACUUAGGGUGACAUAAGAAAACAACAGAAGAAGUAGAAGUAAAGUAUCAUGAAGAUACAGACUAUGACUAUUUUGCAAAUUCCCAGGGCUCAGGAGGGAGAUUUAAACACAGCAGAUUAACUGCUCCUUUUCCUCCACAUUCUUAAGGCCUUCUCAGAAAUUUCCUUCCCAAUUCACUUGCCUUCCAGUGGCCAUGAAGGAAGGAACCUUCAUCUGGUCUACAUCACCACAAAGACAGAACAGUGACAGCUAACCCUGCUCCAACUUCUACCACCUUCUUGACCUGGCACAGCCAUAGAACACAGGAAGUCCUCUUCACUUCUAAUAAAAUUGGAAACAUGGGAACAUGUUCUAUAAUGUUCUAACAUGUUCUAACAAUGUUCUAUAAUGAACGGUCUAUAUCCAAAAGGAUACACUAUAUUAAAGUCUUCACUGAAAGGACCACACCAUGUGUGCAGGCUGGACAUUACUGAGGGCAGGUUCCCCACAAUGCUCCCAUGGGACCAAGACCUAUGUGCAUUACUCAGUAUAAUUUUUUUUAUUUUUAUUUUUUGCUUAUUCUCUGCUCUGUGAUGUAAAAAUGUUGAAAAUGU